rnacentral:rRNA from 1 species
CUCAUCACGUUGCACUGAAUGCUCAACUCCAUGCACUCGUAUUAUUGGCCACCCAACCUCCCAAUGUCCCAUGCCAUGUAAGUGGACAUUCAUGCAUGUAAGUGGACCUUGUCCACUUGCCCGCUCCACAUGCCUUGCCAAAUUUCUCCACUCAAAUUUGCACCAUCUAUAGUCCCACUCACUCAAUUCCAGACGCAAAAAUGAUGAGCUUACACCAGGGUGCGCCACUAAUACCUGCAUUCAAGUGGCAAUGGCUCCCACUAAUGCCUUCCACAUGUUUUCCCACACAGUGCGCCCUAACUCUUUGCUGCUUGGCUUAAUUCCUUUAUCGCUGCAUGCUGGUCACAUUCUGACUGCCAAUGGAGACUUACACUAUUGGUGUUUCCUCAGCCAUCACCUGCAGUUAUGGUACCGCCACACCUUGUGCCCUUCACUUAUCACAAAGGUCACUCAAAUUUUAGUGCGCCCCAUUUGGUCCAUAAGCCAUGACAUGCUCAAGCGCCACAUGUACUCCACUAAACCCCCAUGUGAGUGUUCAUCUCGCACUAUCUCACAUCCCAUGUGCCGCCCACAAAGCACCAUGCAAAAGUCCACGUCCACUCCAAGGAAACCCAUGCAUGCAAUCACGUGAACACACCACUUCCUCAUGCAACUGCCAUGCCAGCCCACGUCCCAUUUAAGGACCUCAUGCAAUUGCCGUAGCUUACUCUGCAAAGGCGAAACUUCUCACCGUCCACCAUGCCAUGACAUGCAAACUUCACGUAACCAAUGCAUGCAAUUCCUCAAGUGAUGUCUUUCAAAUGUCCCAUGCAGAAUCAAACGUUACACUUAAAGGACCCCAAAGCAAAGCAAUUCAACGUCCUGCUUCCUUAAGCAACAUUCAUAGCGCCACCCCACUGAACCCUGCAAACGGCAAGCAACAAAACACACAAAAAUCAUUUGGACUUCUUCGGGGCAAAAAUAAAUGGGGUGAACGAGCCCCGGGCGGAGCGGCCGCUCGGUGCAGACUUGGUGGUAGUAGCAAAUAUUCGAAAUGAGAAACUUUGAAGGCCGAAAGGGGAAAAGGUUUCCCAUGUGAGGCACUUGCACAAUGGGUUAGUCGAAUCCUAAAGACGGGGUGAAGCCCGUCCGACAAGCGCGUCCGCGCGCAGAGCUUCCGAAAGGGAAUCGGGUUUAAAAUUCCGAACGCGGGACAGCGGCGCGCUGACGGCACGUUAGGGAGUCCGGAAACUGUCGGCGGGGGCCUCGGGAAGAGUUAUCUUUUCUGUUUAAAACGGCCGCCCACCCUGGAAAAGCGACUCAGUCGGAGGUAGGUCCAGCCGCCGGAAGAAGGCACCGCACGUCCGCGCGGUGUCGCGGUGCGCUCCCCGCGGCCCGUGAAAAAUUCCGGAGGACCGAGUGCCUCCCGCGCCCGGUCGUAACUCAUAACCGCAUCAGGUCUCCAAGGUGAACAGCUCUGGCCAAUGGAACAAUGUAGGCCAAGGGAAGUCGUCAAAAACGGAUUCCGUACCUCGGGAAAAGGAUUGGGCUCUGAGGGCUGGGCCCGGGGGUCCAGUCCCGAACCGUCCGGCUGUCGGCGGACGCUCGAGCUAGCUCCCGCCGGCGAGAGCGGGUCGCCGCGUGCCGGCCGGGGACGGACGCUGGGAACUGGCCCCUCCGGGGGCCUUUCCCCGGGCGUCGAACAGUCGACUCAGAACUGGUACGGACAAGGGGAAAUCCGACGUUUAAUUAAAACAAAGCAUUGCGAUGGUCCCUCGGAUGCCUUCACGCAAUGUGAAUUUCUGCCCAGUGGCUCUGAUGUCAAAGUGAAGAAAUCCAACCAGCGCGGUGUUAAACGGCGGGAAAGUAACUAUGACUCCCUUAAGGUAGCCAAAAUGCCUCGUCAUCUAUUAGUGACAGCGCAUGAUGGAUUUAACGAGAUUCCCCACUGUCCCUGUUCUACUACCAGCGAAACCACAUGCCAAAAAGGGAACGGGUCUUGGCGGAAUCAGCCGGGGGAAAAAGAAGACCCCUGUUGAGCCUUGACUCUAGUCCGCUUUGUGAAAAUGAACUUGAGAGGUGUAGGUAAGUGGGAGAGGCCCGGAAUACGGCGACGGUGAAAUACCACUACUUUAACGUUAUUUUUACUUUAUCCGUGAAUCGGAGGCGGGGCCUCGCCCUCUUUUUGACCCAAGGCCGCCAACGGCGGCCGACUCCGGGCGGAAGAAUUGUCAGGUGGGGAGUUUGGGCUGGGGCGCAAUCAUCUGUUAAAAGAUAACGCAGGUGUCCUAGAGAGCUCAACGAGACAGAAAUCUCGUGUGGAACAUAAGGGUAAAAGCUCGUUUGAAUUCUGAUUUCCAGUAACGAAUACGAACCGUGAAAGCGUGGCCUAUCGAUCCCUUUAGAACCUUCGGAAUUUGAAAGCUAGAGGUGUCAAACGAAAAGUUACCAACAGGGAUAACUGGCUUUGUGGCAGCCAAGCGUUCAAUAGCGACGUUGCUUUUUUUGAUCCUCGAUGUCGGCUCUUCCUAUGCACAUUGUGAAGCAGAAUUCACCAAGUGUUGAUUGUAUCACCCACCAAUAGGGAAGCGUGAGCUGGGUUUAGAACCGUCGGAGACAGAUUAGUUUUACCCUACUCGAUGACCGCGUCGGAUGGUAAAAUUCAACCAGUACGAGAGGAACCGUUGAUUCGCAGCCAAUUGGUUCAUCCGCGCUUGGUUUGAAAAGCCAGUGGCGAAAGCUACCGUGAGCAUGGAUAUUAUGACUGAACGCCUCUACGUCAGAUCGGGCCAAAGCGACCGCCCGGUGUCUGCCCCCGGCUUGCCGACCCGCAAGUAGGGGCCCUCCGGCCCCAAGAGGCACCGUGCGCGUUGGCCAAGCCCCGCGGCGGACGAGCCCGCGGUGCCGCCUUGAAGUACUACGCCACCAGGGCGUCGGGCAGAAUCCUUUGCAGACGGACUAAAUACGCGACGGGUAUUGUAAGUGGCAGAGUGGCCUGCUGCAACGUCACUGAGAUUCAGGCCCUUUGUCGCUCCGAUUUCGUCCUCCCCCUCCG